CCUACGGGAGGCAGCAGUAGGGAAUCUUCCGCAAUGGACGAAAGUCUGACGGAGCAACGCCGCGUGAGUGAUGAAGGUUUUCGGAUCGUAAAACUCUGUUGUUAGGGAAGAACAAGUUGGGUAGUAACUGACCCAACCUUGACGGUACCUAACCAGAAAGCCACGGCUAACUACGUGCCAGCAGCCGCGGUAAU
rnacentral:rRNA from 1 species